GAUGAACGCUUGCGGCGUGCCUAAUACAUGCAAGUCGAGCGAACAGAUAAGGAGCUUGCUCCUUUGACGUUAGCGGCGGACGGGUGAGUAACACGUGGGCAACCUACCUAUAAGACCGGGAUAACUUCGGGAAACCGGAGCUAAUACCGGAUAAUAUUUCGAACCGCAUGGUUCGAUAGUGAAAGAUGGUUUUGCUAUCACUUAUAGAUGGACCCGCGCCGUAUUAGCUAGUUGGUAAGGUAACGGCUUACCAAGGCGACGAUACGUAGCCGACCUGAGAGGGUGAUCGGCCACACUGGAACUGAGACACGGUCCAGACUCCUACGGGAGGCAGCAGUAGGGAAUCUUCCGCAAUGGGCGAAAGCCUGACGGAGCAACGCCGCGUGAGUGAUGAAGGUCUUCGGAUUGUAAAACUCUGUUAUUAGGGAAGAACAUACGUGUAAGUAACUGUGCACGUCUUGACGGUACCUAAUCAGAAAGCCACGGCUAACUACGUGCCAGCAGCCGCGGUAAUACGUAGGUGGCAAGCGUUAUCCGGAAUUAUUGGGCGUAAAGCGCGCGUAGGCGGUUUUUUAAGUCUGAUGUGAAAGCCCACGGCUCAACCGUGGAGGGUCAUUGGAAACUGGAAAACUUGAGUGCAGAAGAGGAAAGUGGAAUUCCAUGUGUAGCGGUGAAAUGCGCAGAGAUAUGGAGGAACACCAGUGGCGAAGGCGACUUUCUGGUCUGUAACUGACGCUGAUGUGCGAAAGCGUGGGGAUCAAACAGGAUUAGAUACCCUGGUAGUCCACGCCGUAAACGAUGAGUGCUAAGUGUUAGGGGGUUUCCGCCCCUUAGUGCUGCAGCUAACGCAUUAAGCACUCCGCCUGGGGAGUACGACCGCAAGGUUGAAACUCAAAGGAAUUGACGGGGACCCGCACAAGCGGUGGAGCAUGUGGUCUAAUUCGAAGCAACGCGAAGAACCUUACCAAAUCUUGACAUCCUUUGACAACUCUAGAGAUAGAGCUUUCCCCUUCGGGGGACAAAGUGACAGGUGGUGCAUGGUUGUCGUCAGCUCGUGUCGUGAGAUGUUGGGUUAAGUCCCGCAACGAGCGCAACCCUUAAGCUUAGUUGCCAUCAUUAAGUUGGGCACUCUAAGUUGACUGCCGGUGACAAACCGGAGGAAGGUGGGGAUGACGUCAAAUCAUCAUGCCCCUUAUGAUUUGGGCUACACACGUGCUACAAUGGACAAUACAAAGGGCAGCGAAACCGCGAGGUCAAGCAAAUCCCAUAAAGUUGUUCUCAGUUCGGAUUGUAGUCUGCAACUCGACUACAUGAAGCUGGAAUCGCUAGUAAUCGUAGAUCAGCAUGCUACGGUGAAUACGUUCCCGGGUCU
rnacentral:rRNA from 1 species